UACCAGCACCCCGAGUGGUCGGGACGAUUAUUGGGCCUAAAGCAUCCGUAGCCGGCCUUACAAGUCCCCCGUUAAAUCCAACUGCUUAACAGAUGGGCUGCGGAGGAUACUAUAAGACUAGGAGGCAGGAGAGGCAAGCGGUACUCAGUGGGUAGGGGUAAAAUCCGUUGACCCAUUGAAGACCACCAGUGGCGAAGGCGGCUUGCCAGAAUGCGCUCGACGGUGAGGGAUGAAAGCUGGGGGAGCAAACCGG
rnacentral:rRNA from 1 species